GGGAGAAGUGUGCCCAAGCCUGACAGCCCUGCAUCUAGAAUAUAUACACCCACUGCAGGUCUUCAUAAUGCUUUGUCUACCACAGAGGAAAUGGCUACUCCUUAACUAGGAAGCCAAGCACAGGAGAAUCCGAGAACAUCCUCGCUAGCAGGAACUCUGUGGGGAGAAGCAUCCUCCUCCUUACAGAUCAUGCAGGAAUAGGGUCUUGUUCAACCAUGGUUUGACCCAACAUCAGAAUCAGGGCUGCAACAUUCCGCAGGAAUUUGUUUUGGGCCGACCAGAAAAGGCAGCAUAUGAAACACCAUCACUGCAGCUGCCCAGAAGACAGCCAAUUUCUUUGGAGAAGGCAGAACCCACUCCCAUCCCUCUGCAUGGAGUCAAUACCAAUUAUCAGCUUGUUGCAAUCCAGACUAGGGAUCUGCCCAAACUGCGGUCCAAGCACUUUUAAGGAAAUUAGAAAGGGAACUUUGAGAAAAAGGAGAUCUCCAUCGCCUCUUCCAGCUUCCUGCUGGGCAGUGCAUGUCCCCAAAAGCCUUGCGCACCAUCAGCAUUCACAUGGUGUCUAUGUCUGUGCAGGUGCCAUUUGCAUGGUCAGCAUGCUGACCACAUGCUGACUGAUGGCAUACUGAGCUUUUGGAGAUAUGAGCUGCCCCUGCAGGAAGCUGGAUUGGGCAGCAGAGAGCAGGUAAGCACCUGCUCUGCUUUUUCUUAAAAUUCCUUUUCCAAUUCCCCUAAAAAUGCUUGAACCAUGCUUUGAAUCGCAGUCAGGGCACAUCGCUAAUCCAGACCAUCCUCUGCUUCAUGUGCACAAUGUAAGAAUGGACUUGAUUGUUAUCAGGAUCAGGCCGAUAAUUUGACUCAUGCACAGCCCUACCAAUUACCAUAUAAUUAUUUUAUAGAAUUAUAAAGUGGAGAAAAGCCUAAAGGUCACGCAACUCAAGUCCUUAUAGAGCCAAGCCUCAUAUCACCUUGAUUACACUGUGUCAAAGCAGAGAACAGGGAAAACUAUGGAGAGCCACCAAGACAGAGAUUUCUGAAAGACAAGCAAUUUGCAUUUCGUAUGGGCAGCAUCUUCAGAUUGUUCAAAGGAAACCACAUCACAUCCUAAACAGAAAAGCAAAGAAGCCUUCUUAAACCAAAUGACAGAGUGCUGUUGCAUACAAAAGCUGGAAUUACAAUAAACCAGCCAGUCUCUAAGAUGCCACAGUGUUCUUUGCCCUUUUUUUUUGCUGCUGCUAUGAGCUACCACAACUACCUUUAUUCUUCAAUCUUUUUAAAACCAAGUUAAAAUAUGA